rnacentral:rRNA from 1 species
GACGAACGCUGGCGGCGUGCCUAAUACAUGCAAGUAGAACGCUGAAGGAGGAGCUUGCUUCUCUGGAUGAGUUGCGAACGGGUGAGUAACGCGUAGGUAACCUGCCUGGUAGCGGGGGAUAACUAUUGGAAACGAUAGCUAAUACCGCAUAAUAGCAGUUGUUGUAUGACAACUGUUUGAAAGGUGCAAUUGCACCACUACCAGAUGGACCUGCGUUGUAUUAGCUAGUUGGUGGGGUAACGGCUCACCAAGGCGACGAUACAUAGCCGACCUGAGAGGGUGAUCAGCCACACUGGGACUGAGACACGGCCCAGACUCCUACGGGAGGCAGCAGUAGGGAAUCUUCGGCAAUGGACGGAAGUCUGACCGAGCAACGCCGCGUGAGUGGAGAAGGUUUUCGGAUCGUAAAGCUCUGUUGUAAGAGAAGAACGAGUGUGAGAGUGGAAAGUUCACACUGUGACGGUAUCUUACCAGAAAGGGACGGCUAACUACGUG